GUGAAUUCUUCAAAAGUCGGCUCGUGGGAUUGUGCUGGUGGAGACACAUGUGCACGUUCUGCGGGUCGCAAACCCAACACACCUUGUGCAUCUAUGACUCUGAGUGCCGCUUUGCAUGGCCCCUCAUCGGGCCUGGCGCUCGAGUACUUUCACACACUCGAAUGUAACGGAAUGUCUUGUCGUGCAUAUAAUGUACAAACAGAAA
rnacentral:misc_RNA from 1 species